GACGAACGCUGGCGGCGUGCUUAACACAUGCAAGUCGAACGAAGAGCGAUGGAAGCUUGCUUCUAUCAAUCUUAGUGGCGAACGGGUGAGUAACGCGUAAUCAACCUGCCCUUCAGAGGGGGACAACAGUUGGAAACGACUGCUAAUACCGCAUACGAUCUAAACUCGGCAUCGAGGAUAGAUGAAAGGUGGCCUCUACAUGUAAGCUAUCACUGAAGGAGGGGAUUGCGUCUGAUUAGCUAGUUGGGGGGGUAACGGCCCACCAAGGCGAUGAUCAGUAGCCGGUCUGAGAGGAUGAACGGCCACAUUGGGACUGAGACACGGCCCAGCCUCCUACGGGAGGCAGCAGUGGGGAAUCUUCCGCAAUGGACGAAAGUCUGACGGAGCAACGCCGCGUGAGUGAUGACGGCCUUCGGGUUGUAAAGCUCUGUUAAUCGGGACGAAAGGCCUUCUUGCGAAUAGUGAGAAGGAUUGACGGUACCGGAAUAGAAAGCCACGGCUAACUACGUG
rnacentral:rRNA from 1 species